GUCUCUCUCUCUCUCUGGGUUAAAGGUUUAGCGCAUUACUUUUUGAUAUUAAUAAACGUCCAUUACUUUCAAGCCACUGCCAAAUAAAUUACUGCAAAGGUAGUUAAGACCAUCAGCUCUACACAACUCUCUCUUUAUUUCUCAGUCUGGCUGUGUUCAAUAGAUUGUGUCGUC